UUGCAGAUUCAGGAUAACACAUCACAAUAAGCCCAUCAGUGGUAAUGAACGUUGCACAUUGUUGGUGUGUAGGUAAAUGAUGAUGUGAGUAUAAAUCAUAGCACAGACAAUCAGCGUUCACACAUCUAGGUAAUGAUGAUGUUUCCUCAUACAUCUUGUUAUCAUGACUUUUUUUGCAGGCAGUCUGGUAAGAAAUUAUAGUGACCUUACAAAUUCUAGCAACUAUGUUAUCCGGUAGUUUAUAUUUCAGAAAAAUUAAUGUUUAACCAUAUGAGUUUUGAGUGACUGACGGAUAUCCAUGUAUUUCUCAUAGAGCUGGGUAUCACACGUCUAAGCCAUGUUCCAUGCAGGUGUAAAUGUAGAAGAUAAUGGUCUAACAAUGGCCUGAACCUUGGAGCAUAGCAAGAUUCCAAGUAGAUUUGAUGAGUCCUGCAGUGAUGGUCAUGACAAGGUUAUUUUCAGGGUCUAGGUAGUAAAUAAACUUGUGUCUCUAGAUACAUUUGUCACACAUUUGUGUGUUUUCCAGGUUUCUCUCUAGGGAUCACAGUGAACCUUAUAAUGAUCUUCAAUGGGACAUGGCUUGUAUCCAGGUAAGUGAUGAUGUGGGCCUUUUGCACUGGACAGACCAUGUGAUCCUCAGAUAUGUUGGUAAGUGUGGGUAAUGUUCCCAAGUGUUACGUUGCACUGCUUUUUUGCAGGUAUUCAGGUAAGUGAUGAUAGUUUUUUAUGAAUUCUGGCAAUCACGUUAUCUUACUGAUUUAUAUUUUUGAGAAUUUAUUUUUAACCCUGUGAGUGUUGAGCGAUUCACGGGUAUGCACGCAGUGAUGACUGAGUGUGUGGCACAGUAGUGACCAUGGCAUUUCUGCAGGUGAGCAGGGAAGAGAGGAUAGUGUUUCUAACCAUGGCAUAGAGCUUGGAGGAUGCGUGCCCCCAGGGAGAACUCAUGACGGGUCCUGCAGGGAAGGCAGUGAAUGAAGUUAUUUUCAGGGUCCAAAUAAUUAAUUGUGUCCAUAGACACAUUUGUUACAAUGUGUUUUCCAGGUUCCUGUCUAGGGUUCAUGGUGGACUUCUUAAUGAUCAUUAAAGGGAUGUGGCUUUUAUCCAAGUAAGUGAUAGUGUGGGCCUUUUGCAAGUGACAAGCCAUCUGAUCUUCAGAUAUCUGGGUAAAUGAAUAUGAUUUCCCUAACACAGUGAUACCCUGUUGUUUUGCAAGUGUUCUGUUAAGUCCUUUCCUAAUAUGCAGGCAUGAGGUUAUGUGACUUUGGCUCAUUAGCAAGCUUCUUACUUUCAUAUGUGUGAAUGAUGAUGCUUUGAAGACUGUCCGUUAAGUAUGGCUUUGGCGUGUAUGCAAUUCAGAAAUUAAAUUCACCCCAGCAGUACUAGUGAUCAGGGUAUUUGACUGUGUUCUUAUUCAGGGGUUAUGUGUUUUAUAUACUCAUAGUGAUAGAUGGAUAGGUAGAUAGGCAAGUGUUUCUCAUAUUGUCCAUCAGUCAUUAUUCACUUUGGCAUUUUUUCUGGCAUCCCUUCAAAAGAGGAAGGUAUCUCUUAUUCGUGUUUAAUCUGAUUUCCACAAUUGUCUAUGUAACGCCAAUGUAUCUUGAAAUGGUAGAAUUGAACAAGGAAUUUGCAGGUGUCCCAAUGGAAUAAGAUGUGUACCAAACACAUUCUAUACAAUUUUUUUCAGCUUCAUAUGAAGACAUCACAGUGAACCUAUCAACAGUAGAUAACAAGGCACAUAGCAGAUAUUGAGGUGUUCUGUUCAGGUCUUUGGUCGUACACAGGGCUUUCCAAGAGAGCAGGCAGCAAGCCUGUCUAUGGCAGUUGAUGGGGGGACACCGCUGCUGUCGAGAUAAGUGAUGGCAUGGGCCUAAAUCGCAGCCCAGACCUUCCGGUCCUCCUGUAGGUAGUACUACCCAUUGGAUUUGUACACAUGUCCAGUCAAGGAAUGAUCGUUUUCCAACCUUGGUGUUGACCUUGGAUGACUGAAAGUAUCCAGGUUUCCUUCAAGAGAUUGCGAUGAACCUACCAUUGGUCGUUUUUGGGGGGACAUGGCUGAUGUGCAGGUAAGUGAUGAUGUGGCCUAAACCACAGCAAGGCCUUCUGAUCUCCAGGUAGCCACGUAAGUGAUGAUGGUGUCCCUCAUGCUUGAUUUCCUUGUAGGCGUUCAGAUAGGAAGUGAUGGAUCCCUUAGCAGUUCUAGAAACCAGUUUUCAUUUAUUAUA